GUUCUUAUGGUGUAGAAUAGCAUAUUAGAUUUUCAAUCUUUUGGGGCAUAAAAUGUUUAUAUGUUAAGAAUA
rnacentral:tRNA from 1 species